UACGUAGGGGGCAAGCGUUGUCCGGAUUCAUUGGGCGUAAAGAGCGUGUAGGCGGCCCGGUAAGUCCGCUGUGAAAGUCGGGGGCUCAACCCUCGAAUGCCGGUGGAUACUGUCGGGCUAGAGUGCGGAAGAGGCGAGUGGAAUUCCUGGUGUAGCGGUGAAAUGCGCAGAUAUCAGGAGGAACACCGAUUGCGAAGGCAGCUCGCUGGGACGUAACUGACGCUGAGACGCGAAAGCGUGGGGAGCAAACAGG
rnacentral:rRNA from 1 species